AGGGCGGCAGCGGGCCGGCCGCCGCGGCUGGUAUUCCUGCGCUCCGCGCCCCCGUGCCGCGGUGCCAGCCCGCUCCAUGUCCCCAGCGGCGUCCUCUGCAGAGCUCUUCGCUGCGCCGGGCACUGUCCCGUGUCCGGUCGUGAGCUGCUAUGUGGGAAUUUGAAAAUGUGUUUCCCCGGCAUCCCUCCCUAGGGCUGCUCCUUCUUGUUCUUAAUUCUUUUCACUCGUUUGAGCUCUAGCUGUGUUCGGACCUGGUUUUUCCGUCCCCUUAGAGGACAAAAUCUUGGCCCCAGUGCAGAUUUAACAGUUUAGGAAAUCAUAUUCUACCUUCGUGUUUGUUAAUGGUUGGCGUAAGCUUUGAGUUUGAUUUGUGGUUUUCCAUUCCCACCAGUUUAGAAGUGCGGUACCUGGCGACUUUUUUGCUAUUAUUUUCUGUGAGCAUUAAGCAUUUAUUCAGCACUAAAAGGGCUCAAAAAGUACAUUUAUUUUUAGUGGACAGGAGGAACCAGAGGCAGUGCCUGUACCGGAGCCUUCCCACAAGUUUCCAAGGAGAGCCUGCCCUUCUCAGACAACUGCCUGAAUGUGGCUUGGAGGCACGAGAAGGACAAGGUGACAUCAUCUGCAAGAACAAGCUGUGGUGGGACCAACAUGAGCCUUGCCUGGAGGAGGGGAGUGUCCUGGUGGGACAAGGGAAGAGCAGUUCAGAGCCAUUUACUGUUGUCAAGCCUGCUGCUUGGAGUGGAGAAGGUUUCCAUCACAGCUUUGACUGUUUCAGGGUUGUUUUCACCCUCUCUCAAUCACAACCUGCUAAGUACCAUAGCCUAGUUAGUUGUGCUACUUAUUUUUCUCUCUCCAAAUACUUACAUGGUUAUUUCAUGUCAGGCUAGAAACUCCUUUAACUGAAGGGUGGAAAACCUCUGGGUAGGUGCAUCUCCAGCUCUCUGGGGCUGUGUCAAUGACCCCUCUGACAAUGGGAAUUCUUAAACUAUGCUAAGGCACAUGGAAAAUAAGGAGAUGAUUGGUGAUAGCCAAACCUGGCUUCACCAGAGCAAAUCAUGCCUGAAAAAUUUGCUUUAGAAACACAGAAGGACAUAUGUUCAGAGAAACAGGCAUGAUGUUCCCUCCAAAAUAAGAGGGAACUGAGGUAGGACCCAUAAUAUAUUUGGAAGUAAAGAGUAAAGUUGAGGGAGAACUGUUCUGAAGGCAUAGAAUAGUUAUUAAUACUGGUACAAGACACAAGGAUAAUUUCAGACUUGAAGCCACAUGAAAAAGUCACAAAAAGAAGGCAGAAGAGGAGUGAUACCUUGUGUAAGAAGGAGAACUGUUUGAGGAGAAGUGGCUCUCUCUCGCCCUCACAGUGGCUCCCUCCCUGUCUGAGUCAUUUUCCCCUGCUGUGCUUCCAUGGGGAAUGAAGUGCUGAAGACUGAAUCUUGGAGUCAGAGGGUAGAGGAUGACUGUGGGGCCCAAGAAGGUGAUCUGACAGGUGAUUUCUCUGGCACCCUAGAAGAUCAGAAGGGACAUUCCCAAUGGGCUCUGCACACCUACACUUAGGUGUACCAACUCAAUCCAGAUGGAAUUCUGCUGCGUUUGGUGGAGUUGUUCUGUUGGAUGGCAUAUCCACAAAGAUGGGGUUGUAACAAGGCCAGAACUCUGUGGUCCAUGUUCUAGUAGCUCUUCUGGCCAUAACUUAUCUGCAACACUAUGGAGUAAAACAGAACCUGUCUCCCUCUGCUGGUCUUCAGAGAAAAAAAAAAGUUUAUAGAUACUAAAAAACCCCCGGCUAUAAUUUUGAUACAAAUUACCAGUUGUUCCAAAAUUAGCACUUAAAGCUUGCUGACUUUAAAUAUACAGAGGUCACCUUGAGGCUGUCAGUGUCUUGAUUAGCUGAGGAUUGGUAGAUCUUUUAGUGUUUAAUCUGUUUAGGCUUCGUUUCUCAGUAUAUUUAACAUGAUUUCUUUGAGAAAAUGUAACAAGAUAAAUAUAAAUAGAACAAGAUAAAAGCUGUUUUGUCUUUAAUUCAAACAUCACCAAAUCUAGCAGCUAUGCUAAGAGCAGCUUCAUACUGGAGUUGUAGAUGUAGUUGCAUGAUUUUCUUUUCCUGAAUAGUCUGAGUUGGUCUACUUUCAAAUCCAAAAUUUGUGUUGCAGACCACACCCCAGUGAACAAAAUCCUGGGAAUUUCCACACUGCACAAAGUGGAUGUGGGGUUUUUACCAUGUUCUGGUACAUGGCACGGAUUCUGUGAAUAGGUCUUUGUCCUUGGUAGGAUAUGCUCUAUCUUCCCAUUGUCACAGGAAGCACAUUUGUCCUUUAAUAAUCCCUGUGCUCCUACUAACAAUUUGUCAUUUACAGAAAGGAUACUCUAACAAUAGACAUCAAGACAUCAAUUUUGUUCCUUCCAGUUAGUUAAAGGCAAGCAGCAAUUCCAGUAGCUCAAAGCACUCACCUGUUAAAUUUUGGGGGCACAUAAAUGCAUUUUAUGCUGAGAAGAAAAUGAAGGAAAUUUUGGCUUUAAAGUGAUUUUAGUUUGUUGUUUUGUUUUGUUUUUUUUGAUGGGGGUGUUUGGUUUUUUGGGUUUUGUGUGUUUUGGUUUUGUUUUUUACUUCCCAUGUGUUACAGUCACCACAACACAUUUGUUAAGCUUUGUUGUGUGUAGGUGUCCUUUUGAUCUAGGUAUAUUUCAGGCUUCCUUGUAUCCUAGAUAUUAUUUAAAAAAUCAUCUACCAGUGACAGUUUGUCAUAUUUCCAGUUAAUACCAGUGUCAAUAUUGUUAGUUACACAAACUGAUUUGGUCUUUGCAUAUGCUGUGUGUCAGUUCUUUUGGGAUGUUUGACUAUCAGCAUAGCAAGCACAGCACUUACUCUCUCCAAAUAUUUGACCAAAUUCUCUCAUUUAUUCUGUCUGUGGUAUGCAAUUUAAAUUGUCAUUAAAAUGUUAUUUAAUAAAUUGUAGUGUUUUUUACAAGA